rnacentral:rRNA from 1 species
AGACCCGAAACCCGGUGAUCUAGCCAUGGGCAGGUUGAAGGUUGGGUAACACUAACUGGAGGACCGAACCGACUAAUGUUGAAAAAUUAGCGGAUGACUUGUGGCUGGGGGUGAAAGGCCAAUCAAACCGGGAGAUAGCUGGUUCUCCCCGAAAGCUAUUUAGGUAGCGCCUCGUGAAUUCAUCUCCGGGGGUAGAGCACUGUUUCGGCAAGGGGGUCAUCCCGACUUACCAACCCGAUGCAAACUGCGAAUACCGGAGAAUGUUAUCACGGGAGACACACGGCGGGUGCUAACGUCCGUCGUGAAGAGGGAAACAACCCAGACCGCCAGCUAAGGUCCCAAAGUCAUGGUUAAGUGGGAAACGAUGUGGGAAGGCCCAGACAGCCAGGAUGUUGGCUUAGAAGCAGCCAUCAUUUAAAGAAAGCGUAAUAGCUCACUGGUCGAGUCGGCCUGCGCGGAAGAUGUAACGGGGCUAAACCAUGCACCGAAGCUGCGGCAGCGACACUGUGUGUUGUUGGGUAGGGGAGCGUUCUGUAAGCCUGUGAAGGUGUGCUGUGAGGCAUGCUGGAGGUAUCAGAAGUGCGAAUGCUGACAUAAGUAACGAUAAAGCGGGUGAAAAGCCCGCUCGCCGGAAGACCAAGGGUUCCUGUCCAACGUUAAUCGGGGCAGGGUGAGUCGACCCCUAAGGCGAGGCCGAAAGGCGUAGUCGAUGGGAAACAGGUUAAUAUUCCUGUACUUGGUGUUACUGCGAAGGGGGGACGGAGAAGGCUAUGUUGGCCGGGCGACGGUUGUCCCGGUUUAAGCGUGUAGGCUGGUUUUCCAGGCAAAUCCGGAAAAUCAAGGCUGAGGCGUGAUGACGAGGCACUACGGUGCUGAAGCAACAAAUGCCCUGCUUCCAGGAAAAGCCUCUAAGCAUCAGGUAACAUCAAAUCGUACCCCAAACCGACACAGGUGGUCAGGUAGAGAAUACCAAGGCGCUUGAGAGAACUCGGGUGAAGGAACUAGGCAAAAUGGUGCCGUAACUUCGGGAGAAGGCACGCUGAUAUGUAGGUGAAGUCCCUCGCGGAUGGAGCUGAAAUCAGUCGAAGAUACCAGCUGGCUGCAACUGUUUAUUAAAAACACAGCACUGUGCAAACACGAAAGUGGACGUAUACGGUGUGACGCCUGCCCGGUGCCGGAAGGUUAAUUGAUGGGGUCAGCGCAAGCGAAGCUCUUGAUCGAAGCCCCGGUAAACGGCGGCCGUAACUAUAACGGUCCUAAGGUAGCGAAAUUCCUUGUCGGGUAAGUUCCGACCUGCACGAAUGGCGUAAUGAUGGCCAGGCUGUCUCCACCCGAGACUCAGUGAAAUUGAACUCGCUGUGAAGAUGCAGUGUACCCGCGGCAAGACGGAAAGACCCCGUGAACCUUUACUAUAGCUUGACACUGAACAUUGAGCCUUGAUGUGUAGGAUAGGUGGGAGGCUUUGAAGUGUGGACGCCAGUCUGCAUGGAGCCGACCUUGAAAUACCACCCUUUAAUGUUUGAUGUUCUAACGUGGACCCGUGAUCCGGGUUGCGGACAGUGUC